AUUGAACGCUGGCGGCGUGCCUAACACAUGCAAGUCGAGCGGUAACAGGUGUAGCAAUACAUGCUGACGAGCGGCGAACGGGUGAGUAAUGCUUCGGAAUCUGCCCAUGUAGUGGGGAAUAACCAGCCGAAAGGUUGGCUAAUACCGCAUACGACCCUUGCCCACAAGGCAAAGGUGAAAGCAGGGGAUCGCAAGACCUUGCGCUAUUGGAUGAGCCGAAGUCGGAUUAGCUAGUUGGUAGGGUAACGGCCUACCAAGGCGACGAUCCGUAGCUGGUCUGAGGGGACGACCAGCCACACUGGGACUGAGACACGGCCCAGACUCCUACGGGAGGCAGCAGUGGGGAAUAUUGGACAAUGGGGCAACCCUGAUCCAGCGACGCCGCGUGUGUGAAGAAGGCCUGCGGGUUGUAAAGC
rnacentral:rRNA from 1 species